rnacentral:rRNA from 1 species
CAGUAGCCGCGGUAAUACGUAGGUGGUAAGCGUUGUCCGGAAUUAUUGGGCGUAAAGGGCUCGCAGGCGGUUUCUUAAGUCUGACGUGAAAGCCCCCGGCUCAACCGGGGAGGGUCAUUGGAAACUGGGAAACUUGAGUGCAGAAGAGGAGAGUGGAAUUCCACGUGUAGCGGUGAAAUGCGUAGAGAUGUGGAGGAACACCAGUGGCGAAGGCGACUCUCUGGUCUGUAACUGACGCUGAGGAGCGAAAGCGUGGGGAGCGAACAGGAUUAGAUACCCCUGUAGUCCCUGUCUCUUAUAC